rnacentral:rRNA from 1 species
CUCAGGAUGAACGCUAGCGGGAGGCUUAACACAUGCAAGUCGAGGGGCAUCACGAGGUAGCAAUACUUUGGUGGCGACCGGCGCACGGGUGAGUAACGCGUAUGUAACCUACCCUGUACAGGGGGAUAGCCCGGAGAAAUUCGGAUUAAUACCCCAUAAAGAUAUCGAGAGGCAUCUUUUGAUAUUUAAAGUUUCGACGGUACGGGAUGGGCAUGCGUAACAUUAGCUAGUUGGUAAGGUAACGGCUUACCAAGGCAACGAUGUUUAGGGGUCCUGAGAGGGUGAUCCCCCACACUGGUACUGAGACACGGACCAGACUCCUACGGGAGGCAGCAGUGAGGAAUAUUGGUCAAUGGGCGUAAGCCUGAACCAGCCAUCCCGCGUGAAGGAAGACGGCGCUAUGCGUUGUAAACUUCUUUUCCGGAGGAAUAAAAUUUCGUACGUGUACGGAACUGAAGGUACUCCGGGAAUAAGCAUCGGCUAACUCCGUGCCAGCAGCCGCGGUAAUACGGAGGAUGCGAGCGUUAUCCGGAUUUAUUGGGUUUAAAGGGUGCGUAGGCGGAUUAAUAAGUCAGUGGUGAAAACCUUCAGCUUAACUGGAGACUUGCCAUUGAUACUGUUAGUCUUGAGUACGGUCAAGGUAGGCGGAAUGUGUAAUGUAGCGGUGAAAUGCUUAGAUAUUACACAGAACACCGAUUG